UACGGGGGGGGUAAGCGUUGUUCGGAAUUACUGGGCGUAAAGGGCUCGUAGGCGGCCAACUAAGUCGGACGUGAAAUCCCUCAGCUUAACUGGGGAACUGCGUCCGAUACUGGAUGGCUUGGAUUUGGGAGAGGGAUGCGGAAUUCCAGGUGUAGCGGUGAAAUGCGUAGAUAUCUGGAGGAACACCGGUGGCGAAGGCGGCAGCCUGGACCGAGACUGACACUGAGGAGCGAAAGCCAGGGGAGCAAACGGG
rnacentral:rRNA from 1 species